rnacentral:rRNA from 1 species
GGCCCUGCGCGGCUCGACUGCAGUCGAAGCGAAGCCCCUUCGGGGGCAAGUAGAGUGGCGCACGGGUGAGUAACACGUAGGUAAUCUACCUUUGGAUUGGGAAUAACAACCGGAAACGGUUGCUAAUACCAAAUAAUGCAGCGGCACCUAAUGGUGACAGUUGUUAAAGCGGGGGAUCGAAAGACCUCGCGUCUGAAGAGGAGCCUGCGGCGGAUUAGCUAGUUGGUAAGGUAACGGCUUACCAAGGCGAUGAUCCGUAGCCGGCCUGAGAGGGCGGUCGGCCACACUGACACUGACAUACGGGUCAGACUCCUACGGGAGGCAGCAGUCGGGAAUUUUGGGCAAUGGGCGAAAGCCUGACCCAGCAACGCCGCGUGAAGGAUGAAAUCCUUCGGGAUGUAAACUUCGCAAGAACGGGAAGAAUAAGUAAGGGUUAAUAUCUCUUACGAUGACGGUACUGUUUGUAAGCUCCGGCUAACUCCGUGCCAGCAGCCGCGGUAAUACGGGGGGAGCAAGCGUUGUUCGGAUUUACUGGGCGUAAAGGGCGCGUAGGCGGCCACCGCAAGUCGACUGUGAAAUCUCCGGGCUUAACCCGGAAAGGUCAGCCGAUACUGCGGGGCUAGAGUGCAGAAGGGGCAACUGGAAUUCUCGGUGUAGCGGUGAAAUGCGUAGAUAUCGAGAGGAACACCUGCGGCGAAGGCGGGUUGCUGGGCUGACACUGACGCUGAGGCGCGAAAGCUAGGGGAGCGAACGGGAUUAGAUACCCCGGUAGUCCUAGCCUUAAACGAUGAAUGCUUGGUGUCUGGNGUUUUAUAGUCCCCGGGUGCCGUCGCUAACGCUUUAAGCAUUC